UACGAACUGUGCAAACGUUAUUCGGAAUCACUGGGCUUACAGGGUGCGUAGGCGGCCUGUCAAGUAGGGUGUGAAAGCCCCCGGCUCAACCGGGGAAUGGGCGCCCUAAACUGUCGGGCUGGAGUGAGAUAGGGGUGUGCGGAACUUCCGGUGGAGCGGUGAAAUGUGUUGAUAUCGGAAGGAACGGCCGGUGGCGAAAGCGGCACACUGGAUCUCAACUGACGCUGGAGGCACGAAAGCCAGGGGAGACGAACGG
rnacentral:rRNA from 1 species